rnacentral:rRNA from 1 species
UACAGAGGCCUCGAGCGUUGCGCGGAAUCACUGGGCUUAAAGGGUGCGUAGGCCGAUAUGCAAGUACUUUGUGAAAUCCCAGAGCUCAACUCUGGAACUGCUUGGUAGACUGCAUGUCUUGAGGUCGGUAGGGGUUGCUGGAACGGUUGGUGGAGCGGUGAAAUGCGUAGAGAUCAACCGGAACGCCAAAGGUGAAGACAAGCAACUGGGCCGAUUCUGACGCUGAGGCACGAAAGCGUGGGGAGCAAACGGG